GUGGGGAAUCUUGCGCAAUGGGCGAAAGCCUGACGCAGCGACGCCGCGUGAGGGAAGAAGGCUUUCGGGUUGUAAACCUCUUUCAGGAGGGACGAAGCUACUCGGGUUAAUAGCCCAGAGGGUGACGGUACCUCCAGAAGAAGCCCCGGCUAACUACGUGCCAGCAGCCGCGGUAAUACGUAGGGGGCAAGCGUUGUCCGGAUUUAUUGGGCGUAAAGAGCGUGUAGGCGGCCAGUCAGGUCCGUUGUGAAAACUCGAGGCUCAACCUCGAGACGCCGAUGGAAACCGACUGGCUAGAGUCCGGAAGAGGAGAGUGGAAUUCCCGGUGUAGCGGUGAAAUGCGCAGAUAUCGGGAAGAACACCCGUGGCUAAGGCGGCUCUCUAGUACGGUACUGACGCUGAGACGCGAAAGCGUGGGGAGCGAACAGGAUUAGAUACCCCUGUAGUCC
rnacentral:rRNA from 1 species